AACGUAGGUGGCGAGCGUUAUCCGGAUUUACUGGGCGUAAAGCGCGUGCAGGCGGUCUGAUAAGUCGGGCGUGAAAUCUCUCGGCUCAACCGAGAGAGGUCGUCCGAUACUGUCGGACUUGAGGGCAGUAGAGGAAGGUGGAAUUCCCGGUGUAGUGGUGAAAUGCGUAGAGAUCGGGAGGAACACCAGUGGCGAAGGCGGCCUUCUAGGCUGCCCCUGACGCUCAGACGCGAAAGCUAGGGGAGCGAACGGGAUUAGAAACCCCGGUAGUCCUAGCCGUAAACGAUGCAGACUGGGUGUCGGCGGUCUUAACCCCGCCGGUGCCGUAGCUAACGCGAUAAGUCUGCCGCCUGGGGACUACGGCCGCAAGGUUAAAACUCAAAGGAAUUGACGGGGACCCGCACAAGCAGCGGAGCGUGUGGUUUAAUUCGAUGCUACGCGAAGAACCUUACCCAGGAUUGACAUGUACGUGGUAGGGAAGCGAAAGCGGACCGACCCUUCGGGGAGCGUACACAGGUGAUGCAUGGCUGUCGUCAGCUCGUGCCGUGAGGUGUUAGGUUAAGUCCUCUAACGAGCGCAACUCUUACUGCAUGUUACAUGUGUCAUGCGGAACUGCCGGUCUCAAACCGGAGGAAGGCGAGGAUGACGUCAAGUCAGCAUGUCCUUUAUACCUGGGGCUACACACACGCUACAAUGGCCAGUACAAUAGGAUGCUAAGCCGCGAGGCGGAGCCAAACCCCUAAAGCUGGUCUCAGUUCGGAUCGCAGGCUGCAACCCGCCUGCGUGAAGUCGGAGUUGCUAGUAAAUGCAGGACAGCUAUACUGCAUUGAAUACGUUCCCGGGUCUUGUACACACCGCCCGUCACGCUAUGGAAGCUGGCAAUGCCUGAAGCCGGUGCCCCAACCGCAAGGAGGGAGCCGUCGAAGGCAGGGCUGGUAACUAGAGCG
rnacentral:rRNA from 1 species